GAUGAACGCUAGCGGCAGGCCUAAUACAUGCAAGUCGAACGAUAGAAGAGGGCUUGCUCUCUUCGAAAGUGGCGCACGGGUGCGUAACGCGUAUGCAACCUACCUUAAUCAGGGGGAUAGCCCGAAGAAAUUCGGAUUAACACCGCAUAAAAUCACAAUACAGCAUUGUACAAUGAUCAAAUAUUUAUAGGAUUAAGAUGGGCAUGCGCGACAUUAGCUAGUUGGCGGGGUAACGGCCCACCAAGGCGACGAUGUCUAGGGGAUCUGAGAGGAUGACCCCCCACACUGGUACUGAGACACGGACCAGACUCCUACGGGAGGCAGCAGUAAGGAAUAUUGGUCAAUGGAGGCAACUCUGAACCAGCCAUGCCGCGUGCAGGAAGACAGCCCUCUGGGUCGUAAACUGCUUUUAUUCGGGAAUAAACCUACUUACGUGUAAGUAGCUGAAUGUACCGAAGGAAUAAGGAUCGGCUAACUACGUGCCAGCCGCCGCCGUAA
rnacentral:rRNA from 1 species